rnacentral:rRNA from 1 species
GACGAACGCUGGCGGCGUGCUUAACACAUGCAAGUCGAACGGAAAGGCCCUGCUUUUGUGGGGUGCUCGAGUGGCGAACGGGUGAGUAACACGUGAGUAACCUGCCCUUGACUUUGGGAUAACUUCAGGAAACUGGGGCUAAUACCGGAUAGGAGCUCCUGCUGCAUGGUGGGGGUUGGAAAGUUUCGGCGGUUGGGGAUGGACUCGCGGCUUAUCAGCUUGUUGGUGGGGUAGUGGCUUACCAAGGCUUUGACGGGUAGCCGGCCUGAGAGGGUGACCGGCCACAUUGGGACUGUGAUACGGCCCAGGCUCCUACGGGAGGCAGCAGUGGGGAAUAUUGAACAAUGGGCGGAAGCCUGAUGCAGCAACGCCGCGUGCGGGAUGACGGCCUUCGGGUUGUAAACCGCUUUCGCCUGUGACGAAGCGUGAGGGACGGUAAUGGGUAAAGAAGCACCGGCUAACUACGU